AUUGAACGCUGGCGGCAUGCUUUACACAUGCAAGUCGGACGCGUGGCGAACGGGUGAGUAACGCAUCGGAACGUCCCGUGUAAUGGGGGAUCACUGCCCGAAAGGAUCGCUAAUACCGCAUAAUAUUCGAGCGGCCGAUGUCUGAUUAGCUGGUUGGCGGGGUAAAGGCCCACCAAGGAGACGAUCAGUAGCGGGUCUGAGAGGAGGCGCCUCCACACGGGGACUGAGACACGGACCAGACUCCUACGGGAGGCAGCAGUGGGGAAUUUUGGACAAUGGGCGCAAGCCUGAUCCAGCCAUGCCGCGUGUCUGAAGAAGGCCUUCGGGUUGUAAAGGACUUUUGUCAGGGAAGCGGUACCUGAAGAAUAAGCACCGGCUAACUACGUGCCAGCAGCCGCGGUAAUUC
rnacentral:rRNA from 1 species